rnacentral:rRNA from 1 species
GGUUAAAAAGCUCGUAGUUGGAUUUCUGUCGGUGAGUGAAAGUCCGCUCUCAGUGGUUGGUACUUUUCACGCCACCGGCAUCUUCCUGGGGAUUGUGUCUGCUCUUUGUUGAGUGGCGCAUAAUCCAGGACUUUUACUUUGAAGAAAUGAGAGUGUUUCAAGCAGGCCUACGCCGUGAAUACGUUAGCAUGGAAUAAUAGCAUCGGACCUCGUUCCAAAGCUGUUGGUUUCUUGGACCGAGGUAAAGGUGAAUAGGGAUUGUUGGGGGCAUUCGUAUUUAACUGUCAGAGGUGAAAUUCUUGGAUUUGUUGAAGACGGACUACUGCGAAAGCAUCUGCCAAAGAUGUUCUCAUUGAUCAAGAACGAAAGUUAGGUGAUCGAAGACGAUCUGAUACCGUCCUAGUCUUAACCAUAAACUAUGCCGACUGGAGAUCGGGGGUCGUUAACUUUGUGACGCCCUCUGC